CCAAUCUGCACCCUUUCAUGGCUUCUUUACUGCUUUGCACACUGAGAGAAAAGUAGCCCCAACUCAUAGGAUUUUGUGAGUUGAAUGCGUUAGUGAAUGUGAAUGAGUCCGUCUUCCUGAAGCAUACUAAAUACCGUCGAGGUGCUUCUCGCUGAUGUUCACUGCACUCAGCGUUCUCCGGGUAACACUCAGCUGUUCUUCAACCACGGUCUGCGCUUGCGUUGUGCCUCCUCAGGUCCUGAGUCCCUCCCGGGAGAGGCCGGCGGGAAGGCUAACCGUGGCACUCACGUGACUGAGGACGCGGAGCCGGCCCUGCAGAACAUUACCGGAAGUGGUCGGCGGCUUCCGGUCUCCAGUACUAGGAUGGAACCCAGGCCUUCACACAGAGCUGCAUCCCUCGUCCCUACCCCUAUCCCCCAGUCUUUUUAAACUUUGAGAGAGUAUCUCACUGAAUCAGUUGCCCAGGCUGGGCUUCACCUUGCAAUCCUCCUGUCUCAGCCUGCCAGAGUGCUGGUCCACAGUUUGAAGAAUCAGCCCACAGCCUUUCCUGACCCCAGGAGUGUGUCAUUUCUGUACUACUCUACCCUUCGGGAUUGAACUCAGGACCUCGUGCUUGUGAGGCAGGCAUGGUGCCACUGAGAUGCUGGCAAUUCUUAGCUCGUUCUAUGCGAGAGUCUGGAAUCUCUGCUGGACCCAACACAUGGUAUCAUUUGGCGAGCUAGUCAGGAGACAUCAGCAGCCAGAAGCAGCCCAGCCAGAAAGGAAGGGUAAAACCCAAGCUGCCUGAGACACCAGAAAAUGAAAAAGAGAGAACACAAACCUUGAACACCUGUGAGCCAUGGAACGACCUCAAGUUUCCUUUCAGAAAAGAAAACACCAACCAACCUGUUCAGCCACAUAGGUGAAAGUUGGGUUGUUCCCUUCCCACAACCUUACCAAGGAGUCUCAGUUGGAAUCCUGCUGCACAUACACAGCUGUCUUAGCAAGAAGUCUCAGAGCAUCAUUCGCUCUGCUCUCCCAGCCUGAUAAGGUGCACUCACAGAGGGAGUGAGAGUAUUCCAACAUCAGGUCUCAGUGAACUUUGGAGACAGAAUGAAUUUGCAAAAUCCAGCAGUAUUUCCUUCAUAUUGGUGAACCAGGUCUCUGCCUUCAGCCCAGGACUUUAGAGAGCCUCGAGUAUCAGAAACACAUAAAAAAAUACAUUUAUGAGGGAACAAAUGGCCCCUCUACCACUUGGGACCCAGCAGUCGGAGUUGGCAUUGUGUGAG
rnacentral:lncRNA from 1 species